rnacentral:miRNA from 1 species
UCCAGCGCUUUUGGGACUACAACUCCCAUCAUCCCUAGCUAACAGGACCAGUGGUCAGGGAUGAUGGGAACUGUAGUCCCAAAAGAGCUGGA